UACGGGGGGGGCAAGCGUUGUUCGGAAUUACUGGGCGUAAAGGGCGCGUAGGCGGCCACCGCAAGUCGACUGUGAAAUCUCCGGGCUUAACCCGGAAAGGUCAGCCGAUACUGCGGGGCUAGAGUGCAGAAGGGGCAACUGGAAUUCUCGGUGUAGCGGUGAAAUGCGUAGAUAUCGAGAGGAACACCUGCGGCGAAGGCGGGUUGCUGGGCUGACACUGACGCUGAAGCGCGAAAGCUAGGGGAGCGAACGGG
rnacentral:rRNA from 1 species